rnacentral:rRNA from 1 species
CUGGCCGUAAACGAUGAACACUAGAUGUUGGGGGAAUCGACCCCCUCGGUGUCGUAGCUAACGCGUUAAGUGUUCCGCCUGGGGAGUACGCACGCAGGUGUGAAACUCAAAGGAAUUGACGGGGGCCCGCACAAGCGGUGGAGUAUGUGGUUUAAUUCGAUGCAACGCGAAGAACCUUACCAAGGCUUGACAUCCUGCGAAUCUCCAAGAAAUUGGAGAGUGCCUUUUGGAACGCAGUGACAGGUGGUGCAUGGCUGUCGUCAGCUCGUGUCGUGAGAUGUUGGGUUAAGUCCCGCAACGAGCGCAACCCACGUUUUUAGUUGCCAGCAUUCAGUUGGGCACUCUAGAAAGACUGCCGGUGACAAACCGGAGGAAGGUGUGGACGACGUCAAGUCAUCAUGCCCCUUACGCCUUGGGCUACACACGUACUACAAUGCUGCGGACAAAGAGUAGCGAUCUUGCGAAAGUUAGCUAAUCUCGUAAACCGUGGCUCAGUUCAGAUCGUAGGCUGCAACUCGCCUACGUGAAGGAGGAAUCGCUAGUAAUCGCAGGUCAGCAUACUGCGGUGAAUACGUUCCCGGGCCUUGUACACACCGCCCGUCACACCAUGGAAGUUGGCCAUGCCCGAAGUCGUUACUCUAACCUUUUGGAAGAGGGCGCCGAAGGCAGGGCUAAUGACUGGGGUGAAGUCGUAACAAGGUAGCCGUAGCGGAAGCUGCGGCUGGAUCACCUCCUAA